rnacentral:rRNA from 1 species
UACGUAGGGUCCGAGCGUUGUCCGGAAUUAUUGGGCGUAAAGAGCUCGUAGGCGGUCUGUUGCGUCCGCUGUGAAAACUCGGGGCUUAACCCCGAGCCUGCAGUGGAUACGGGCAGACUAGAGGUAGGUAGGGGAGAAUGGAAUUCCCGGUGUAGCGGUGAAAUGCGCAGAUAUCGGGAGGAACACCUGUGGCGAAAGCGGCGCACUGGACCAUAACUGACGCUGAGGCGCGAAAGCUAGGGGAGCAAACAGG